CCGGCGGAGUGGCGCAGGGUGGGGUUUGCGGCGGUGCCCGGGAGCGGCUGUCAGGGGUGAUGUAGCCCGUGUGGGAGGGAAUACCCCCCGCUCCAGCAUGAAGACGGUGUGAAAGAUGUGCGAGCAGGCAGCGCGCUACUGCAGGGCGAGCGUCCACAAGCUCCUGCACAAGCCGCAGCCGCAGCUCCGGGGGCUGGACGGACUGCUCCGCUGGAUAGUCACCAAGAUGAGCGACAAGAGCGUGCUGGCCGAGCGCGAGCUGCUGCCCGAGGGGCAGGCGGCCGCCGCCCGCCACUUCUUCGCGGCAGAGCAGAGGAAAGGCACCUCGGUCAUCCUGGAUAUCUUCAGACGAGCUGACAAAAAUGAUGAUGGGAAGCUGUCUUUGGAAGAGUUCCAGGCUUUUUUUUCUGACGGGACUCUGAAUGAAGAAGAACUUGAAAAGCUCUUUCAUACAAUUGACUCGGACAACACCAGUAAUGUGGAUACAAAGGAGCUGUGUGAUUAUUUUGUUGAUCAUAUGGGAGAUUAUGAAGAUGUUUUGGCUUCAUUGGAAACCCUUAACCUCUCCAUUUUGAAAGCCAUGGACUAUACCAAGCGGGUGUAUGAAAGAGGGACCAAUGUGGACCAGUUUGUGACCCGGUUCCUGCUGAAGGAGACUGCCAACCAGAUCCAGUCCCUGCUGAGCUCUGUGGAGAGUGCUGUUGACGCCAUUGAUGAACAAACCAAUCAGAUCAGGCACUACCACAGUAAAUCUGGCCAUGGUAUAAUGGAUACUUGGUAUGACAACCCUGUGCCUAAUUACUCCCCUAAUAACAGAAUUAUGACCAAGGAGCACAGGAAGAGCUUCCAGACUGGGUCUUCAGACACUAAGGAAGAGGGACUGGAGGCUCAGAUUAACAGACUAGCUGAGCUGAUUGGAAGACUGGAGAGUAAGACUCUCUGGUUUGACCUGCACCAGCGACUGUCAGACAGCGAAAGCACUGCUUGCACAUAUCUCCUUUUGGUACGGAAUGAGAUGACAGUUUCCCAGAAGCACCUGGGAGAAUUCUGUAGCUCCCUUAAGCAGUACUUGAAGAUUGUGGCAGGAGAGAGGGACUGUUUCCAUGUAACUGCAGUGAGGCUCCCGGAUGGAGUCACCUUCAUUGUCUAUGAGUUCUGGGAGUCUGAGGAAGAUUGGAAGAGACACCUGCAGAGCGCUGCUUGCAAAGGGUUCCAGCAUGUGAAAGUGGACACCCUGACUCAGCCGGAGGCUGUUUCCAGUGUGUCAGUUCCAGCAGCCUGGUGCACCCUGAACAGAGACUAACUGUAUUCCUGGAGAAGACACAGAAAGAUCAGCGGUUCCCAAACUCUGACAGAUUGCACACCACUAACACAGAAGAGAGUAGCCUGCUCCUGUUGGAGGCCGCUGUCUGUUUUCAGAAUGACUGAGACUUGGUGGCAUCACCCCAUAGGAAGUAUACUGAAGAAGGGAAUCUAACAGCCAAAAGCAGUCUGUGGAUUAAAUAAGGACAUGCAUUAAGCUACAGUUUGGAUUUUUAAAUAAAGCAGUCAUGAUCGAAAAACAUAACUGAGUUUUAAAUAUGUUGCUUAAAAGUGUUAAAUGUAUUUAAUUUCUCUCUCUCUUUUUUGUUAUUGCUUUGUUUUAAAUGUACUAUGCUUUCCCCCAUACACCUAGAAGAAGAUAAACUGACAGAUGGAGUGACUUCUAAUGAGUCAAACAACAAACUGUUUAGUUUUAAAUGAAAAUAUUUUCUUAUCUUCUGAACUAAAACACAUGUCUAAUACUUGAUGCUAGAAUUAGGUUAUUCCACAACAGUGUUAAUUAUUGGGAAUUCUGGUUUGGCAAAAUUUAGAACUUCAAAUGGAGGUACUACCCAGGACAGCAAUUUAUCUGCUCAUGUGUAGAAGCUAUUAGGCAUCUUUUACCUUCUUGAGCAUCCUUCACUUUCUAAAACCUCUCAGGGACACACUUUGAAUGUCAGUUUGCCCUGGCCUACUGUAAAACUCAGAAGAAACAAACAGUACAAACAAUUUAAAAAGUAGGGGUAUUGUUAUAUAUUACAUUUAGAUCAUAGCAAGCAUUAAUACAACUUAGAAAGUUAUUGCAGUACCACACCAGAAUCUUGAACUGGCUCUGGUGUGGUCCUGGGGCUAAGACCAAAAAAAUCAGCUGAUUCUUGGUCUCAACCCUACGAUUGCACUGGAGCCAGCGCGGUGCAAAGAUUGAGAGUGACACUGGCACCCAGUAGUGCACCGAAGCAUUGAUCUGGAUUUGACACAAUGCAGUACAGAGGUUCCUGUGCAGUGCGGGGUUUGGGACUGGUUCCCGUGGCAUGCCAGUGUUGUCUCCAGCUUCGUUACAUUACUGCAUAGGAGCCUUGAAAUGGCAGGGCUCUGCUGCGGUGGGGAAUAGGGGGAGGAAAGAGCCCAGCAAACAGCUUUGUCAGACACUCAUGACUCCCAUUACAUCAGAAUCCCCUGAUCACAUUACCUCCAUGGAGCAGUCUGACAUUAGCUCAACACACGUUACGUAAUAUGAUCUGGAGAUGCUCCUCUCUGAAAAGGGUCUAACUUUACCAAACUACAAUGGCACUUUACACAUGCUUCACUGCUUGAAGGCUGAGACACUAGUGUUGCAACUGCUAAGUGUAAUGUGCAACAAUACCCGAUGCCUCUCCUGUUAUCUGGUCUCAAACUGUCUGAAAUUAUGGUUUGUAAAACAGGGACAAGCAAAGAUUAAUGCAUUUCAAAUACAGAGCAAAACAUUUUUCUCGGAAUUUCUCUACCUUGAAGGGUCAUUCGGUGGGAAAAGUAAGUUAAUCUUCACAAUUCUAAUGUCAUAUAAAUCUCCACCUUUGGUUUUUACGUGACUGAUAUUCACAUAUGCUAGAAAUUUAAGGUCAGCAAUGUCUCAGCAAGAGAUACAGCUGCUAAUUCAUAACUUAACAGCCAACGUAAUGGAAUUGGUCAAGCUUUCCAGCAUGCUUGUCUCAUAAGAGUAUACACCCCAAAUUUAAGAAAAAUCAAUGUUCAAGACAUGGCUUACAACUGCUUGACUAAUUUCUUAACUAUCUAUCAUCCUUUGCACUGUAGGUGUUUUAAUAACCUCUAGUAAAUCUGCAAGGCUCUGAUGUGACCACAUUGGUGAAUUAGACACUACAUUAAUUGGAAGACAUUUAGAAGAGAGAAGCCAACUAAGUUAUACAAUGAAAAUGACUAUAAAAAUUGUAUCCUAGGGUUCCAGACUUGGUUCCCAAUGACUUGAAAUCAGAAUUAGUUCAUUUUGCAAAUAAAGAAAGCUUUUCCAAGUGUUAA